UACGGAGGGAGCUAGCGUUGUUCGGAAUUACUGGGCGUAAAGCGCACGUAGGCGGUUUGUCGCGUCGGCUGUGAAAACUCGGGGCUCAACCCCGAGCCUGCAGUCGAUACGGGCAAACUAGAGUGUGGUAGGGGAGACUGGAAUUCCUGGUGUAGCGGUGAAAUGCGCAGAUAUCAGGAGGAACACCGAUGGCGAAGGCAGGUCUCUGGGCAUUAACUGACGCUGAGGAGCGAAAGCAUGGGGAGCGAACAGG
rnacentral:rRNA from 1 species